rnacentral:rRNA from 1 species
AUUGAACGCUGCGGCAGGCUUAACACAUGCAAGUCGAGCGAGCGGCGGACGGGUGAGUAAUGCUUAGGUAUCUGCCUCUUAGUGGGGGACAACAUCUCGAAAGGGAUGCUAAUACCGCAUACUAAUAGAUGCGCCUAAGUCUGUUUAGCUAGUUGGUGGGGUAAAGGCCUACCAAGGCGACGAUCUGUAUCGGGUCUUAGAGGAUGAUCAGCCAAACUGGGACUGAGACACGGCCCAAACGCCUACGGGAGGCAGCAAGGGGGAAAAUGGGACAAUGGGGGGAACCCUGAUCCAGCCAUGCCGCGGGUGUGAAGAAGGCCUUAUGGUUGUAAAGCACUUUAAGCGAGGAGGCGUUACUCGCAGAAUAAGCACCGGCUAACUCUGUGCCAGCAGCCGCGGUAAUUC